UACGGAGGGUGCAAGCGUUAUCCGGAUUCACUGGGUUUAAAGGGUGCGUAGGCGGACUUGUAAGUCAGUGGUGAAAUCUCUCAGCUUAACUGAGAAACUGCCAUUGAUACUGCAGGUCUAGAGUAUAGAUGACGUUGGCGGAAUAUGACAUGUAGUGGUGAAAUACUUAGAUAUGUCAUAGAACACCGAUUGCGAAGGCAGCUAACGAAACUAUAACUGACGCUGAGGCACGAAAGUGCGGGGAUCAAACAGG
rnacentral:rRNA from 1 species